AGUAUGAUUGCUGGGUCAUAUGGUAAGGGCAUAUUUCAUUUCUUAAGAAACUACCAAACUAUUUUCCAGAGUGGCUGUACCAUUUCACAUUUCCAUCAGCAAU
rnacentral:pre_miRNA from 1 species